rnacentral:rRNA from 1 species
CCUACGGGAGGCAGCAGUGGGGAAUCUUGGACAAUGGGCGCAAGCCUGAUCCAGCCAUGCCGCGUGAGUGAUGAAGGCCCUAGGGUCGUAAAGCUCUUUCGCCAGAGAUGAUAAUGACAGUAUCUGGUAAAGAAACCCCGGCUAACUCCGUGCCAGCAGCCGCGGUAAUACGGAGGGGGUUAGCGUUGUUCGGAAUUACUGGGCGUAAAGCGCGCGUAGGCGGAUUGGAAAGUUGGGGGUGAAAUCCCGGGGCUCAACCCCGGAACUGCCUCCAAAACUCCCAGUCUUGAGUUCGAGAGAGGUGAGUGGAAUUCCGAGUGUAGAGGUGAAAUUCGUAGAUAUUCGGAGGAACACCAGUGGCGAAGGCGGCUCACUGGCUCGAUACUGACGCUGAGGUGCGAAAGUGUGGGGAGCAAACAGGAUUAGAUACCCUGGUAGUCCACACCGUAAACGAUGAAUGCCAGUCGUCAGCAAGCAUGCUUGUUGGUGACACACCUAACGGAUUAAGCAUUCCGCCUGGGGAGUACGGUCGCAAGAUUAAAACUCAAAKGAAUUGACGG